rfam:Croceicoccus naphthovorans strain PQ-2, complete genome.
CCGGAUGCCAUAACGGGUCCGGUUGGACAGAGGGCGUCGGCUCUUGGUUCCCGGCGCCUCUCAUGCCCAGAUUGCUCAACAAGGAGGAUUUGGAAAUGAGAA